rnacentral:lncRNA from 1 species
AAAUAUAUUGUCUGGAGAAGCUUAUUUCUAGUUUGCAAUAAGCAAAUUUGAGUUUUCAAAAGGUACCUCACAACAUCCUGUAAGAGUCAAAAUGCUAUUUCUGUUUGAAAUGGUCAUUUGCUACUUGCAGCACUCUUGCUUAAGAUGCUUACAUUUAUUUUCCUUUUUUAUAGCUGCAUAAUUUUGCUAUCAUUUCUUUUACUUGCUACUUUUUUCUUGUUCAUGGCAACUAAUUUGAUUAGAUUUUAAUGAUGCAUAGAUUUUAGCACUGUGAUUUGAUGUGUUAACAAGCUGGAGUCUAUUUCAGCUUAAAAGAAAAGACUAUGAAAAGCCUAUUCUAUUCAGGCUGACUUUGAUGUCUAAAGUUACUUGAUAGCAUCUUCUAAUAUUCACAAAUGAGCAACAGGGCAGAUGAGAUUACAAUUGGAAACUCGUUAAAGUAAAUUGAUGCCUCUUUUGGUCCUGGUCUUUGCUGUUAGCUGUCUUCAGCUUCAGAAGCAAGAGCAGUGCCUAGGGGAAAAGUGCAAGGCUUUUAAUAUUUUUUUUUUAACUUUUAUUUUUUUUAGCUGGGACAAACAAUCUAAUUAUUCUAGAAUGGAUGAAAAAAAUGAUCACCCAGCAGCUAAACCUGAAGAUGAACUAAGUGAGUUGUAACGUGGACUUUACUUUGGCUCUUCAUUGUUCAGGCAGAAAACAAAGAUGUGUUGUACUUUGUUGGGCUGUUUCGUGUUGCCAACAUAGAAUUUCUCCCAGAAUAUAGGCAGAAGGAAUCAAAAGAAUUUCUCUCUGUGGCGCAGAACGUGCAGCAUGUGGUAAGAUGAGUGGGCUGCUUGGUUAACAAAAAGUGGCAAAAAGACCAGAGCUGUGAUCAAUAAUUGCAAAUCUCAGGUGCCAUUGAGUCUGCUGUGGCAUUCUGCAGUUUUUAUCUUCUUCCUUAUUCCCUUUCAGAAGACUGCGCAGAUAUGGCUAGCUGAAGGCAGGAAGGAACUGGGUGCUUUUAGCUUGUUAACCACAAACUAAAUUUUGGAAAGGUCUGUUUGACAUACACAUUGACUAAAAUUUUACACAUUAUUCCCCACAAACCAGUCUAUGAAUAGAGCUCUACAAAAAACCUUCAAAAUUGCCACUUUUGAGACAUUGAUGAAAUAUUUUGCAUUCAAAGUGGUAUCUGCUGCCAGUCUUCUGCCUCAGAGCAUCUAUAAUUACAUUACAGCUCUCACAUGCUUUUACACUUAGUUUCCUUCUGAUGCCAGUUAUUCCAAAGACCAUUAUUCCUCCCAAACACCUUGUAACAGUCACAGCAGAAACAGCACUCAGUCGUAGGCCGUUAUGGCUGCUCUACAGCAGGCAGAGGUGGCUGUCUCAAUGCAACCAGAGAUUCUUGAACAAUUACCAAGUUUUGGUCAUCUUAUAGCAUGAACUCAUGCUCCUGUUUGCAAGCUCUUUGAUCAGAGGGAAGAUUUCUUGAUGACCCAAAGUGCUUUCAGGCCAGGGGUGGGAGCAGUGCAGGUAUUGUCCCUCCCAAUUUACCAGGGAGUAGCUUCAACCUGCUGUGGGCCAUUUGUCUUGUUCUUGUCCUAGAGCAUCCUGCUAUCUUCUCACACAGCAGAGAGAGGUGACACAGAAGAACAUGUGAACUGCCAGUGCCACCAUCUUCUACUUGGACAUAACUUGGAAAUGACUCUUUUUCUCUAAACUCAACCAAUACUCACCAAUAGAUUUUGCACUGCUAAUAAUGUGCAUCUCAGUUACAUGACUAUUGGCUAAAAAGGCUAGCAGGAAUGUUGGGAAUCUGAGUUUGUAAGGUUUUUGUCUUUUUUUUUGUUGUUGUUGUUCUAAUUGAAACCUUUUUGUUUAUGACUUCUGUGUCUGAGGUCUAUAGAACAAUAGCUGAAGAACCUCUCAAGUUAGACUCAUUCCCCCUUUGACAGUAAAAGCAAUAUAUAUAUAGAUAGAAUCCCUCAUAGCUUAAUCUGGAGACAGAUUGAGCUCUGCUCAUUUUACUUAGGCCCUUAAACUGAUUGUUCCAACUUUGUAUCAAAUGAUGAAGAUUAUGGACUAACAUCCAUAUGACUUUGACAGCCUUGGCUUCAAAAGAAUCCUAGUUACAGUCCCGUGGGCAUCAAUUAAGCAGCAGGAACAGAGGCUGAACAGCUUGAGGUACGUGCCACCUGGUGGUGCUAGUGGUGUGCCUCCUUCAACAAGGAUAAGCACGCGACGGUAACCUGCCUUAUCUAAAGAACUGGUGAAAGCGGGAGUAUGCUUUCCCAAAGGCUGUCCUGCAUCAAGAAAGGGGCAGAGCUUUCCCCUCUUCACAUAUUUUACACUGUAUUGGAAAGAAAUAUAUUAAUGCUAAGCUGCUAGUUGGGGAAAAAAAUAGACACAAAUGGAAUGAAAAGGCAGGAAGCUGCCCAUAAACAAUGGAGGGGGGGAAAAAAAAUAAAAUACCUAAAACAUAAAUAAUCCCCCGCAAAAACACAGCUCCCCUAAAAACAAGCCAAACAAAAAAAACCGACCCACACCCCUUAAAGCAAUCCUGAACUGUCUCCUUCAAAAAAAAGAAGAGUGUAAAAAAAAAACACCCUCCAAAACCAAAGAUACCCUCAAAAAAAAUAAAAAGCACACAAAAGCAAAAAGCAAACAAACAAAAAUCCUCAGCCCAAGACCAAAACAGAAGCAAGAAAUAAACAACCCCCAAAACAAAAGCAUGGGGAGAAAAAGGAAGAAAACAAAGUGAACCUCCCCAAAAGCAAAAACAAACAAACAACAAAAAAAACAAACCACCCCAAAACAAAGUAAAGCCUCCCAAGAAAACAAAACAAAAUGGAAUAAUAAAUAAAAAAGAAAAGAAAUGAGAAACAAAGUGAAGAAAAGAUAACACAAAAAAACACCUCAUAAAGAACAAUAGUAAAAUAACCAGAAAACAAGAAAGCAAAAUGACAAAAAAGACAAAAAGAACAAAAAAUUCCCCCCAAAAGAAGAAGCAAUAAAAGCAAAUGCCUUAAAAACAACAACAACAACAAAAAAAAAAAAAAAACACAACAUAAAACCAACAAAUAAAAAUCCAACUACAAAAAAAGUAAAGAAAUAAUAACAAAAGAAAAAGUAAAAACAAAAUAAAAACAGAAAAAGGGGGAGAAGAACCGAGGAAAAAAUAUCCAAAGAACACAGAAAAAAGUCAAAACACCUCUCAAAACAAAAUGAAAACAAAUCCCAAACUAUAGUGACAAAAAAAAAUUGUAAAUUGUAAACAAUUGUUUUGUAGACAAAAAAAAAAAUUGUAAAACAAUACAAAAUGACAAUACAUAAAAUGAAAAAAAAAAAAAGGACAAAAAGCAAGCAAAAUCCCCUGUUCUCCAAAAACAAGAGAAGGCAACAACCAGAGCAAGUAAAAAGAAAAUAUUUAAUCUUAAAAUCUUUUAAAACUCCCUCAAAAACAGGACAACCCCCUAAAAAUCUCCACCCUAUAAAAAGAAAAUAACUAAAUCAAAGAAAGCAAAAAAGCAACAACAAAAAAAUCCUAACGAUAUUCCAACUUAAAAUAAAAAUACAGAAAAUGAAAAAAAGACAAAAUACAAAACCCCGUAAAAACAGAACAAGAAAAAAUGAUCAAUUCCCUAAGCUAACACAGAAUAAUAAAAAUACAUUAAUAAAACUACAAAAAAAAAAUAAAACAGAAAAAAAAGACAAAAGAACCCCUCAUAGCAUCCCCAAGAAAUAAGAAUCCUAAAACAAAAAAAAAAGAAUCCCUCCUAAAGAGAAAAAAAAAAAAAACACCAACAAAACAAACAGAAAAAUACUGUCAAUUAAUGAAAGAAUCAAAGAAUUCAAAGAAAUCAAAGAAACAGAGAAAAGAAAAACACAUAAAAGCAGUAACAGGGAGGAAAAAAAAAAAAAGAGGAUAAAAAACAACACACCAAUAAAUAAAAAAGCAUCGCCCCAAAGUAACACCCUCAAAAAGUUAAAAAACAACAAAACCAUGCACACACAAAAACUACGAAAAUACACAUAAAACAGAAAUAAAAACAAAACAAGAACAAAAUUAGCAACAGAAGUAAAAAAAAUAAAAUAAAAGGCACAGCAAGCCCAACCCAAUGUGACCACCUGGAUUUGGCCCCCUCUGGGGGCUGUAGCUGUCCCUUGUCACUCUGAGAGGAGGGGUCAGUGUUUUGCAUUUCCAGAGGCCCCUUCCAGACCCAGCCAUACCAUGGCUUUGCUGAAGAGCUUGGUCGCACCCUUACCUGAACCUU